UUACCGUGGAAGGGGAACACCGAGUCCAGAUGGUCUCCGCCUCGUAAUUAGCACAGUUUUAGUUUCUGGGAUCAAAAAGCGAACAUAAAGCUCGAGCUCUUAUGUUGAUACCGUGUUUCUGGAGGCGCCCGGAGCUUCGUAGAUUCCUUGUGAGUGGGAAUUACACACUCUUCCCCCUCCUCCCUUCCCAAAGUGUAGUUUCAUCCCAUUCUGAUGGCGUGUCGGCGUGAAGCUGUGCCACGGCUCUUUCCCAUGCUUUAACAUGCAGACAGCUCAGGUAGGCAGGCUGGCCUACUGCAGGGUGUAAAGCAUGGCCAUGUAAAUGAGUCAGUGGGAGUGUGUGGAGUGAGUAAAGUCUGCUGCUGCUGCCUCUCUGCAUGAAGAGAGUGCAUUUGCUUUAGCUCAUUUUAACAGGAUUACAGGCAGGCUGUGUUCAGGGUCUGCCAGCUUUUUCAGCUUGUGUCUUUCCUCCAGGCAACCUUUGCAUGCUCCUCACCAGCCUGCUGAGAGACAGCAACUGGGAGGGCUGUAUGCGCAUGACUAUGACAAAUACACACACAUACUGCACAUACAGUAUAUGUAGGAAAUAUUCUAGACAUGCAAUGACAAAUGAUAUUCUGGAAAUAUUCUAGACCAAAAAACAUAAUGGGUCUGUGAAUGCGCACAGGACUUUUUGUCACUGUGCAACUCUCGUCAAAAAGAGCAGAGAAGAGCUUUACACUUGACAUGUUCCUGUGCUGUUCUCAGCCCUUGAAUGCGAUCUACCACAAUACAGAGAGAGCUUUUGUGUGAGAUGGUCCAGUUGACACCUGCUACCCCUGAGAGCAGUGAAUUUCAAGUGCCUCAUUCAAAAAAUACCUGCCUGAAGAAAGAGUAAUGUCACACUAGAGGCAAUGCGGUCUAGGGUUUUUAAUUACCAUAUUUGUUUUUAGAAUCAGUUCUGACCACUAAAAUCUAUAUCUGAUUUUAAAUUAAUGACACGUUCAUGAAUUAACAGUAAACCACAUUUUGUUAACCAUUUCACUGGUCAUAAAUGUUAUGAUCCCACUCUGUAAACCCUCUUUAAUAUGAAAUCUUUUGGGGGCAAUUAUUAAACAGGAAAACCACUAAAAGCAUUAUAGUGUUAACAGGCUGGACAUGGCAAGGACAAAGGCAUUGGCUGGCCCCCCUUGACCCUGUCACAUCCUCAUGCACUCCUGGAAUUGUGGGGAGCAUGACCCUGAGGUCAGAGGUCAGUCUGUGUCAAGUGGGGUGACUCUUCAUGCCGUUUUAAUUGAGUGUGUCCUGUUGAAGGAGCGUGUGAGAGUGCUGGGACAUAUGCAUCACAUAUACAGCGCUCCAGAAGUGUGUUACCCCCUUACCUGUUACUCAUUUAUUUAUUUGAAAAUCAUGUUAUGUAGUAAUUAUUCAUUAUUAAGGAAUCACUGUGAAACUUUAUGAGUAUAGUUACAAGGCUGAGAAAUGUACAUCUGGAUUUGGUGCUGGGUCCUGACAGUUUAAG
ensembl:lncRNA